rnacentral:rRNA from 1 species
GUGGCGACCGGGUGAGUAACACGUGACUAACCUACCUUUGAGUGGGGAAUAACCUCGGGAAACCGGGGCUAAUACCGCAUAACACCGAGAGGUCAAAGGAGCAAUCCGCUUGAAGAGGGGGUCGCGGCUGAUUAGCUAGUUGGUAGGGUAAUGGCCUACCAAGGCAGUGAUCAGUAUCCGGCCUGAGAGGGCGCACGGACACACUGGAACUGAAACACGGUCCAGACUCCUACGGGAGGCAGCAGUGGGGAAUUUUGCACAAUGGGGGAAACCCUGAUGCAGCAACGCCGCGUGGAGGAUGAAGCCCCUUGGGGCGUAAACUCCUUUCGAUCGGGACGAUUAUGACGGUACCGGAAGAAGAAGCACCGGCUAACUCUGUGCCAGCAGCCGCGGUAAUACAGAGGGUGCAAGCGUUGUUCGGAAUUAUUGGGCGUAAAGGGCGCGUAGGCGGUGCGGUAAGUCAGCUGUGAAAUCUCCGGGCUCAACUCGGAGCCUGCAGUUGAAACUGCUGUGCUUGAGUAUG